CAUCUUGUUGGCAGUCUUGUCUAUCUAGCUGUCACUCGUCCGGACAUCUCUUAUCCGGUUCAUAUUCUGAGUCAGUUUGUCUCUGCUCCCACAUCGGUUCACUAUAGUCAUCUCCUUCGUGUUCUCCGAUAUCUUCGGGGCACGAUCUCUCACCGUCUAUUCUUUCCUAACUCCAGUUCUUUACAGCUUCAGGCCUAUGCGGAUGCUAUGUGGGCUAGUGAUCCUUCUGAUCGCCGUUCACUUUCUGCUUACUGUGUUUUUCUUGGCGGUUCUCUCAUUGCCUGGAAGACGAAGAAACAGAUUGCAGUUUCCCGUUCUAGUGCUGAGGCUGAGUUGCGAGCCAUGGCUCUUUUGACGGCAGAGGUGACUUGGUUACGGUGGUUACUUCAGGAUUUUGGUGUUUCUGUCACUACACCGACUCUGCUCUUAUCUGACAGUACAGGUGCUAUUAGCAUUGCGAGC
rnacentral:rRNA from 1 species